rnacentral:rRNA from 1 species
CUACGGGGUGCUGCAGUGAGGAAUAUUGCACAAUGGGGGGAACCCUGAUGCAGCAACGCCGCGUGGAGGAUGACGCAUUUCGGUGUGUAAACUCCUUUUAUAUGUCAAGAAAAUGACGGUAGCAUAUGAAUAAGCACCGGCUAACUCCGUGCCAGCAGCCGCGGUAAUACGGAGGGGUGCAAGCGUUACUCGGAAUCACUGGGCGUAAAGGACGCGUAGGCGGGUUGGAAAGUCAGGUGUGAAAUCCUACAGCUUAACUGUAGAACUGCACUUGAAACUUCUAAUCUAGAGUAUGGGAGGGGGAGAUGGAAUUAGUGGUGUAGGGGUAAAAUCCGUAGAUAUCACUAGGAAUACCUAAAGCGAAGGCGAUCUCCUGGAACAUUACUGACGCUAAGGCGUGAAAGCGUGGGGAGCAAAUAGGAUUAGAUACCCCUGUAGUC